ACUCCUACGGGAGGCAGCAGUGGGGAAUAUUGGACAAUGGGCGCAAGCCUGAUCCAGCCAUGCCGCGUGAGUGAUGAAGGCCCUAGGGUUGUAAAGCUCUUUCACCGGUGAAGAUAAUGACGGUAACCGGAGAAGAAGCCCCGGCUAACUUCGUGCCAGCAGCCGCGGUAAUACA
rnacentral:rRNA from 1 species